rnacentral:rRNA from 1 species
GACGAACGCUGGCGGCGUGCCUAAUACAUGCAAGUCGAACGCAGAGGGGACGGGUGAGUAACACGUGGGUAACCUCCCAUCAGAGGGGAUAACACUUGGAAACAGGUGCUAAACCGAUACUGAUGGAUGGACCCGCGGUGCAUUAGCUAGUUGGUGAGGUAACGGCUCACCAAGGCCACGAUGCAUAGCCGACCCGAGAGGGUUAUCGGCCAAACCGGGACUGGGGCAAGGCCCAGACUCCUAAGGGAGGCAGAAGUAGGGAAUCUUCGGCAAUGGGCGAAAGUCUGACCGAGCAACGCCGCGGGAGUUAAGAAGGGUUUCGGAUCGUAAAACCCUGGUGUUAGAGAAACGGUAUCUAACCAGAAAGCCACGGCUAACUACGUGCCAGCAGCCGCGGUAAUUC